GAAUUCACCAGUCUCUAGGAUCCAGAAGUGUUGACAACAACACCUGGGGCCCAUUGCAACUUCCUGUGACCCUAUCUCUUGAACCAGUGCUAGAGGCAGGGAACCAGGUUGCUGAUGGCUAGUGUCCAUUUUUUAUUGUCCUGUAU
rnacentral:lncRNA from 1 species